UUCUAAUCACUGUUUCAACUCCCUCAGUGGCUGUAAUCACUGAAUCGCAUUUAAAUUGCUGCCUUUUAUUGCUUAUCUUUUGACGAGCAGAUCUUUUAAACAGUGAAGAUGAUAAGUGCUAUAGUUCUGUUCUUCAAUUUUCUCAGGCUGAUGUUUUGUUGUUUGUUGAAAACAGUUCGCUCCAGUGGUGGAAAAGGGUUGCCAGCCCUAUAUUCCUGGAGGAGCCCAGACUAUACAUAUGCCUUUUCCACAGCUGGAGGCCAAAACCUCAGAAUAAGUGGAUAGCCAUUUCAGACAAGGGUCCCAAGAGUCCGUGGUUAGAAGACUAAUGACAGCUAUUGCUGACGUCAUGAAUUUAUGAAUAAAAUGUGAAUUUAUUCUUGUUAUAUCAUAAAAUUACAUGCAGUGAUAUUCCCUUUUGAAUAAAUUGUAUAUCCUUA